rnacentral:rRNA from 1 species
AUUGAACGCUGGCGGCAGGCCUAACACAUGCAAGUCGAGCGAGUGGCGGACGGGUGAGUAAUGUAUGGGGAUCUGCCUGAUGGAGGGGGAUAACUACUGGAAACGGUAGAUAAUACCGCAUACCAUCAGAUGAACCCAUAUGGGAUUAGCUGUUAGGUACGGUAACGGCUUACCUAGGCGACGAUCCCUAGCUGGUCUGAGAGGAUGAUCAGCCACACUGGGACUGAGACACGGCCCAGAUGCCUACGGGAGGCAGCAGUGGGGAAUAUUGCACAAUGGGCGAAAGCCUGAUGCAGCCAUGCCGCGUGGAUGAAGAAGGCCGUCGGGUUGUAAAGUACUUUCAGCCGGGAGGCGUUACCGACAGAAGAAGCACCGGCUAACUCCGUGCCAGCAGCCGCGGUAAUUC